rnacentral:lncRNA from 1 species
CAGCAGCCUCUUCCUUCUCUUCACUCUAUGGAGUGAACUGAAGAAGCACUACUUAGCGGUCUACGAGUAGGUAGACAUCAGUUAGCCCAGAGAGGCCGAGGAUGAAAUUGAAAAGAGCUACAAGGCCAGUAGUAUGGUGAGAGUGCAUCGUCCUUUUAGCUCUCUCAAUUCCUUCCCCGGCCUCUCUAGCAGUCUAGCUCUCUCAAUUCCUUCCUCGGCCUCUCUAGGAUAUAGAGGCAGCAAGGAUUGUGUACCUCGUGUUUAUUUGUUGAGAGAUUACUCCUUUGAAUCAUCUCGCAUCUUAGGUGCAAGGAGUUUGGCAAGAUGGUGAUUAACCCAAAGUGUUCCACUUGCGUCGGCGGCGUGUGUUCCUGCUCCCGAGAGCAGGUGGUGCUCAGUCGCAGAUCGUUUUCUCCACUUUUGCAGCGACCAUAGCAGCAUGGACGGCAGGUGGUGUAUGCGUGCAUCGCAAGAGCGACACACACACUAUGCCAAGGAAAAGUUUGAGUGUCCGCAUUGCUAUGGUCGCCGCAUAAGCGGAUGAAACGUUCAGCAGCUGCGCACCACACCUGCGCGGCAGCCUAGACACGCACAACACUGACACUGUCCGGGCAUUAGUCACCAGCUUACAAAACUCCUUGCACCAGCGAUGCGAUGGUUCAAUUUAAAGUGGAGUAAUCUAUGAACAAAUAAACACGCAUGUACUCAAUGCAAGCAUCGAUCGUCAUCUAUCAUCCUGCUUGUUCCAGUAGAAGCAGAGAGAUAAACUAAAAAGAAACAUAACAAAACUUAUAUAUAGGUGUACGUCAUCAGAACAGUCGGGCUGGCCGACGCAUGAAUGUAUUGCUCGGAUCGAUUAAUAAUCAGAUUUGCAAACGAAUAUUACUCGGCUAAGUCAAGCAUUUAGAUCACUGUUGAAUAGUAUUGAAUCAGAUCUCGCUUAGUCGGCCUUGCUUUGUACGGAGGCCGAAAAAGUGUGACUGGUCGUAACCCUACGCCCAUCUUCCUCCUCAUGAUCGUCCUUGCACCACUCUUGCUUCCUCUCCCACCGCCCCCGACUAGUGGCUCCCUUGGCACUGGCCGCCUCCUGUCCCCGACCCUCGACCCCAUCCUCCUCUAACCUCUGUCAUAAUGUGCC